UAGACGGCGGGUCGGUUCCUUUUUUUUGCGUUCUCGACAAGACGUGUUUAAAAAUAAUUUAACGAGUGAAUUCGUGACAAAAAAACUUCGUAGUAAUCGGACUUGACUUUCCUCUGCCCAAGGAAAAAACCGUCGCGCUAAGAAAAAUUUCAGAUCGAGCGUUAUAUCAGAAGUGUUAAGUGGUAAUUUGUUGGCCUUUCGGUUUUGCGUGUGAAUAAAGGCUAGAUAAAAAGUGCGUAAAAGGUCCACAUGUACGCGUUACCAAUGACGGCAAUUUAGUGAAUGGGCCACACACAAGUAAGCCUUGGACCACGGUAAAGAAAGGGCGCCAUCAGAAUUUGCGUUUGGUUCUCGCAUUUGGAUCAUCAUUGAACGCGGGCGAAAUAUGAUAUUUUGAUUAAAUUUUUAUUUAUAUUAAAGGAGAGUUUAUUAUAAAGUGUGAAUUUUUAACUUUGCACUAGUAAUGUAGAUAUGAAUAUUGAACAUUUGUGAUUGAAAAAAGUCUAAAAAGAAUUAAAUCUUUAAAAUAAUAUAUAAAUACAAAUAUGUUCAGUUUAGCAAAAAUUAGCAAUUGUGCAAUUUCAACACCAUCAAUAAAAAGAUAUUUGGCAGAAUAACGAGCGCCGCCCUCAAGUAGUGAUCAUAGUGUGAGCGCAGCAUUAUGAUCUGAAUAUUCGUAAGUAUGCAACUCUGUUUUUCAUACAUUUCGCAAAAUAUUCUACAGCAACAAGUGGGCGAAUUGCACGCAAAAAUAUAAAGGUUCCGUUGUUGUGCAAUCAACAUCAACUAAUUGUUCAAUAUGUUCGCAUUGACACGUACUGCUUCAAACGCCCCUAAGCGGCUGUGCGUUGUAAGCAGGAUUUGCCGAAGCGAUUAUGCCGCUUUGGAACCAAUCAUCUGCCGUGAAAUCAUGGAAUUGCACCAUCAGAAGCAUUAUCAACAUAUGUGCACAACUUGAAUGCUGCCAAGGAGCAGUUUGCUGAAGCACAGAAAAAACUGAAGUGGCUACGACCAUCCCAUGUUGAAGCUAUCUGGGAUAUCGCCAACUGGAAGGAUAUCGUUAAUCACCUCGUUGCCGCUGCUAAGAGAUGUUUGUGUCAUCUAAGCUUUAAGUGACCUAGAGAAGCCUGUUCGAAUUUGUGGGACGAAUGUUGGGCAAAGCAAAGCUGAUGAGUGAUAUUUUUAAAUAAAUAAUUUAACUACAACACAUUCUGCGUUUGUGAUAAUCAACGAAAAGAUGCGAAAUUUGAACAUUCAGUUACUACAACACUAUUGGAGAAAUAUUAUAAAAAAUUAAUCCAUGUUGGUUCUUGCUUACUUUGUGAUAUGUAAUGCACACGAUUCGUGCAUUCUUCGUACAGCUAUUAUUAGAAUAAAAUUACUUUAAACGAAUUUGUAUUGUACGUAGUAAUUAGAGCUAACUUACGCGCUUUAUGAAAGAAUUAUAGAAAUUAUUCCAUGUUAGUUUUUGCUUACAAGGUAAGCAAGGGGAAGAAAGUUCUGUAUACAUAAGAUGAAAUUGCUUUAUGUUUUUUUUUGUUUUGCUCCUAAAACUGCAACACUUAUGUUGAAGAUUUGUUAUUAUAAAUUAUGUCAUGUAUAUCGGCGUG